rnacentral:rRNA from 1 species
UCCUACGGGGCGCAGCAGUGAGGAAUAUUGGUCAAUGGGCGAGAGCCUGAACCAGCCAAGUCGCGUGAGGGAGUACUGCCCUAUGGGUUGUAAACCUCUUUUGUCGGGGAACAAAGGCGGGGACGUGUCCCCGGAUGAGUGUACCUGAAGAAAAAGCAUCGGCUAACUCCGUGCCAGCAGCCGCGGUAAUACGGAGGAUGCGAGCGUUAUCCGGAUUUAUUGGGUUUAAAGGGUGCGCAGGCGGUCUGUUAAGUCAGCGGUCAAAGCCCGGGGCUCAACCCCGGCCCGCCGUUGAAACUGGCAGC